rnacentral:SRP_RNA from 1 species
GCCAGGUGCGGUGGCGCGUGCCUGUAGUCCCAGCUACUCGGGAGGCUGAAGUGGAAGGGUCGCUUGAGCCCAGGAGUUCUGGGCUGUAGCGCGCUAUGCCGAUCGGAUGUCCGCACUAAGUUCGGCAUCAAUACGGUGAUCUCUCUGGAGCGGGGGACCACCAGGUUGCCUAAGGAGGAGUGAACCGGCCCAGGUCGGAAACGGAGCAGGUCAAAACUCCCGUGCUGAUCAGUAGUGGGAUCGCGCCUGUGAAUAGCCACUGCACUCUAGCCUGGGCAACAUGGCGAGACUCCGUCUCU